rnacentral:rRNA from 1 species
CCGGCCAACUUCGUGCCAGCAGCCGCGGUAAUACGAAGGGGGCUAGCGUUGUUCGGAAUUACUGGGCGUAAAGGGCGCGUAGGCGGCGCUUCUAGUCGGGCGUGAAAUCCCCGGGCUCAACCCGGGGGCUGCGUUCGAUACGGUGGCGCUCGAGGACGGGAGAGGCUCGCGGAAUUCCCAGUGUAGAGGUGAAAUUCGUAGAUAUUGGGAAGAACACCGGUGGCGAAGGCGGCGAGCUGGUCCAUUACUGACGCUGAGGCGCGACAGCGUGGGGAGCAAACAGGAUUAGAUACCCUACCCUGGUAGUCCACGCCGUAAACGAUGUCGACUUGGAGGUUGUGCAGUGGAGCAUGUGGUUUAAUUCGAUGCAACGCGCAGAACCUUACCAGCCCUUGACAUGGGCCGGACCGGCCGAGAGAUCGGCCUUCCCCGCGAGGGGCCGGCCGCACAGGUGCUGCAUGGCUGUCGUCAGCUCGCGUGUCGUGAGAUGUUGGGUUAAGUCCCGCAACGAGCGCAACCCCGUGAUUAGUUGCUACGAAAGGGCACUCUAAUGAGACUGCCGGUGACAAACCGGAGGAAGGUUGACGUCAAGUCCUCAUGGCCCUUAUGGGUAGGGCUUCACACGUCAUACAAUGGUACAUACAGAGGGCCGCCAACCCGCGAGGGGGAGCUAAUCCCAGAAAGUGUAUCGUAGUCCGGAUUGGAGUCUGCAACUCGACUCCAUGAAGUCGGAAUCGCUAGUAAUCGCGGAUCAGAAUGUCGCGGUGAAUACGUUCCCGGGUCUU